AGAGAGGACUCAUAAAUAAGCUGGCUGUAGAGGACUCUGGAGACAGUGUUAAGGAGGAGACACCAUAAGCUCUGUCCUCCUGUCCUUUCUUACCACACCAUGUGGAAGAACAGAUAUGCUCAGCUGUACCUUUUUUCAGUUCUUCUUGCCUUCCUGCCUUCUGCAUCUUCACUCAAUGGAGACCCGAAGUAUAUGGUGCUGGUCCCUUCUCAGCUCUACACUGAGACCCCUGAGAAAAUCUGCUUCCAUCUAUACCAUCUGAAUGAGACAGUGACCGUCACAGCUUCCUUGGUGUCUCAAUCAAGAUGGAGAAACCUGUUCGAUGAGCAUAUCACAGAUUUCUUGGUAUCUCAAUUGGAAAGGAGAAACCUGUUCGAUGAGCUUGUGGUUGACAAGGACUUGUUCCAAUGUGUUUCCUUCAUUAUCCCUACACUCAACUCUCCUGAUGAGGAGGAGUUUCUCUACGUGGACAUCAAAGGGCCAACCCACGAAUUCAGCAAAAGGAAAGCAGUGCUUGUGAAGAACAAAGAAAGUGUUGUCUUUGUCCAGACAGAUAAGCCCGUGUACAAACCAGGACAAUCAGUUAAAUUUCGGGUUGUCUCUAUGGAUAAAACUCUACACCCCCUGAAUGAGUUGCUCCCUCUGGCUUACAUUGAGGAUCCGAAAAAGAACCGAAUUAUGCAGUGGAGGGAUAUUAAGACUGAGAAUGGGCUUAAGCAAAUGUCCUUCAGCCUGGCAGCAGAGCCCAUUCAGGGCCCCUACAAGAUAGUGGUGCACAAACAGUCAGGGGAGAUGGAAGAACACUCCUUUACUGUGUUGGAAUUUGUGCUUCCCAGAUUUAAUGUCGACCUGAAGGUUCCAAAUGCCAUCUCUGUGAAUGAUGAAGUGCUCCAAGUGACUGCAUGUGGGAAGUGAGUUGCUGGCUUCUGUACUUCUAUCCUUAAGAAAGUACUCAGACACAGAAAAUCCCUGGGAUGAUGUCUCUUUAUUGAAUAUGUAGAAAAUGCUACAGUUGUGUCCUUUCCCACUAGAAUGUUUCCCCUGUGGUGCUUGUUUGUAUUCCUUACUACUCUGUAUAGAUUACUUUGCAAUCAUUCACUGCAUACAUUGCUGAUAUCUAUAGAUAAAAAUCAAUCUUAUGAGGAAAUAAAGAGGUCCUGCCUUUGGAGACAGGAAGGGACCUAAUACAAUCGAUCCACUCACUAUGUGAAGAGAACACAGUCCCUAAGUCAAGGCAUCUUGCUGGCCUCUUAUGGGAUGACAGAAAGAGCAGAGAAAAAAGAGCUCCUAAUCUGCAUCCAGCUCAAACCACUGCAGAUCAAGUUUAACCUUUAGACAUCUCAGUCUUCUGCUUGCUUUUCUGUACCUGAUAAAUGAAGACAUUUACUACAACAACUAAAAUUUCUAUUGAAGUCUAGAACCAUAUGAGAUGCUUGCAAUAUGUGCCUGAAUCAAACAGAAGACAAAGAUGUUAGCUCACCAUUCCUUGUCCUUACAAUGGGCAUACUCAAAAACUAAAAUGGUAGAACAAAGGCAAAGUAUUGAGGAGGUUUGUUUACAGCAGCUCUGAGUGAUUCUCAUGCCCCCAUUUGUCUAAGCCUCAUCAUUUAGUAGCUGAGAAUGCUGGUUUGCUUACUUAAUAUUUUUCAGAACCACAAAAGGGUGAAAACCAUAUCUUCCCUAGGUUCUUAAUAUGUCUAAUUUUUUACUAUCAUCUAUCUAUCUAUCUAUCUAUCUAUCUAUCUAUCUAUCUAUCUAUCUAUCUAUCUAUUAAUUUACAUCCCAAAUUCUUAACAUAUACGGUUAGAAGUUGUCAGGAGUUAAUAAAAAUGGGACAUGUUUGUUGUCGUUAUGAAA
rnacentral:lncRNA from 1 species